rnacentral:rRNA from 1 species
GAUGAACGCUGGCGGCGUGCUUAACACAUGCAAGUCGAGCGAAGCGCUUACGACAGAACCUUCGGGGAAAGACGUAAGGGACUGAGCGGCGGACGGGUGAGUAACGCGUGGGUAACCUGCCUCAUACAGGGGGAUAACAGUUGGAAACGGCUGCUAAUACCGCAUAAGCGCACAGUAUCGCAUGAUACAGUGUGAAAAACUCCGGUGGUAUGAGAUGGACCCGCGUCUGAUUAGCUAGUUGGAGGGGUAACGGCCCACCAAGGCGACGAUCAGUAGCCGGCCUGAGAGGGUGAACGGCCACAUUGGGACUGAGACACGGCCCAGACUCCUACGGGAGGCAGCAGUGGGGAAUAUUGCACAAUGGGGGAAACCCUGAUGCAGCGACGCCGCGUGAAGGAAGAAGUAUCUCGGUAUGUAAACUUCUAUCAGCAGGGAAGAAAAUGACGGUACCUGACUAAGAAGCCCCGGCUAACUACGUGCCAGCAGCCGCGGUAAUACGUAGGGGGCAAGCGUUAUCCGGAUUUACUGGGUGUAAAGGGAGCGUAGACGGAAGAGCAAGUCUGAUGUGAAAGGCUGGGGCUUAACCCCCAGGACUGCAUUGGAAACUGUUUUUCUUGAGUGCCGGAGAGGUAAGCGGAAUUCCUAGUGUAGCGGUGAAAUGCGUAGAUAUUAGGAGGAACACCAGUGGCGAAGGCGGCUUACUGGACGGUAACUGACGUUGAGGCUCGAAAGCGUGGGGAGCAAACAGAAUUAGAUACCCUGGUAGUCCACGCCGUAAACGA